UAUUCAUUUACUCCCCAGCCUA
rnacentral:miRNA from 2 species